UUAGACCUCAAAUCAGAUAG
rnacentral:rRNA from 1 species